rnacentral:rRNA from 1 species
UACGUAGGGGGCUAGCGUUGUCCGGAAUCAUUGGGCGUAAAGAGCGUGUAGGCGGCCCGGUAAGUCCGCUGUAAAAGUCAAAGGCUCAACCUUUGAAUGUCAGUGGAUACUGCCGGGCUAGAGUCCGGAAGAGGCGAGUGGAACUCCUGGUGUAGCGGUGGAAUGCGCAGAUAUCAGGAAGAACACCAACGGCGAAGGCAACUCGCUGGGACGGUACUGACGCUGAGACGCGAAAGCGUGGGGAGCGAACAGG